GAAAGGAGUUAACAUUUAUCAUCUUUAUGAUUAAGAAAAUAAGAGCUCCAAACUCUCUCUUCUUCCUCACCAAAACCAAACCCUUUCAUCUCCAUGCCAAAUCCAUUAUUCUCAACCAAACUUGAUGGAAUUGGAGGCAAAAUGAUCACAAGGAAGAGGAUAAGCAAGGUAUAAACAAUGGAUUGGGAGCUUGAAUUUGGAGAAUUCAUGGAGGAGUUUAAUUCGGCCACAAAGAUAACUCAUCACUCAAGACCGGACGAGUGACUAUCGAUACGGCUCAAGGCGUACGGAUUGAGAUAUCGUCGUGCUUAUUUGAAGAAUUUGGAUAGCAAGUGGGAUAGCAUGAUAUGAUUUGAAGAGUCAAUCUUCCGAAGUUCUAAUUCUCGGAAGUGAUUUGUACAAGAAGAAAAAGAAUGUUUUCAUUCUAGCAGUCCGCAGUAGUCUAGAAUUAGUUAACUAUACUAUUGUAUAACGCGUUUUAACUCUGAUAUUAUUUGUAAGUGGGGUCACAUGUAUUUUAAUAUAUGAAAUAUGUUUUGAUUUGCGAAAAA